rnacentral:rRNA from 1 species
CCCCUAGAUGUUCUGGGGCGCACGCGCGCUACACUGAACAGUUCAACAAGUCUUAACCUUGGCCGAUAGGUCUGGGUAAUCUUUGAACGCUGUUCGUGAUUGGGAUAGACCUUUGCAAUUAUGGGUCUUCAACGAGGAAUUCCUAGUAAACGCAAGUCAUCAGCUUGCAUUGAUUACGUCCCUGCCCUUUGUACACACCGCCCGUCGCACCUACCGAUUGAAUGGUCCGGUGAAAUCUCGGGACGGCGGCUUGGUCGCUUGCGUCCGACUGCUGAAACUUGAUUAAACCAUAUCAUUUAGAGGAAGGUGAAGUCGUAACA